rnacentral:rRNA from 1 species
UUGACCUCGGAUCAGGUAGGAAUACCCGCUGAACUUAAGCAUAUCAAUAAGCGGAGGAAAAGAAACCAACAGGGAUUGCCUCAGUAACGGCGAGUGAAGCGGCAACAGCUCAAAUUUGAAAUCUGGCCCCCCGGCCCGAGUUGUAAUUUGCAGAGGAUGCUUUUGGCGAGGUGCCUUCCGAGUUCCCUGGAACGGGACGCCAUAGAGGGUGAGAGCCCCGUCUGGUCGGACACCGAGCCUCUGUAAAGCUCCUUCGACGAGUCGAGUAGUUUGGGAAUGCUGCUCAAAAUGGGAGGUAUAUGUCUUCUAAAGCUA